rnacentral:rRNA from 1 species
UAACACGGGGGGAGCGAACGUUGUUCGGAAUUACUGGGCGUAAAGGGCGUGCAGGCGGCUCGGUCAGUGAGAUGUGAAAGACCCUGGCUCAACCAGGGAGGUGCAUCUCAUACUGCCAGGCUUGAGGACGGGAGAGGAGACGGGAAUUCCCGGUGUAGCGGUGACAUGCACUGAUAUCGGGAGGAACACCAGUGGCGAAGGCGCGUCUCUGGCCCGAUCCUGACGCUCAGGCGCGAAAGCUGGGGGAGCAAACAGGAUUAGAUACCCUGGUAGUCCCAGCCGUAAACGGUGGACACUAGGUGUGGGGGGCAUCGACCCCUUCUGUGCCGUAGCUAACGCAUUAAGUGUCCCGCCUGGGGAGUACGAUCGCAAGGUUG